UACGAAGGGGGGCUAGCGUUGCUCGGAAUCACUGGGCGUAAAGCGCACGUAGGCGGAUUGCUAAGUCAGGGGUGAAAUCCUGGAGCUCAACUCCAGAACUGCCUUUGAUACUGGCAACCUUGAGUCCGGGGAGAGGUGAGUGGAACUGCGAGUGUAGAGGUGAAAUUCGUAGAUAUUCGCAAGAACACCAGUGGCGAAGGCGGCUCACUGGCCCGGUACUGACGCUGAGGUGCGAAAGCGUGGGGAGCAAACAGG
rnacentral:rRNA from 1 species